CUGGAUGCUGACGCGUCUACGGAGACAAUGAAGCGUUAAGUAUUGCUCAACGAACAAUUUAUCAUCGAGAUUGACAAUUCAUUGGGGAAGAAGAGGCAAGUGAGAGGCAAGAAGGGGAAAGAACUAGGACAAGGGUCGUACACGUUCGACUCUUCGCGGAGUUCUCACGCAUGCAUUAUCGGUAACAAACGCGGUAAAAGAAGGAAGGAAUUUUCGAGAUUCGAUCAGAAGGAAGCAAAAGGACGCGUGCCAAGUUGCUCCAUCACCGGUUGCUCCAUAUUCAUACUCUCGGAAUAGAUCUAGCGAAGAGCCUUAAAUGGAUCUCGACCAAGUGGUUUUUUACUUGGAAUGUCGAUACACGGCGAAAGAGAGGAGCCCUUUUACGAGAAAGGAGGCCCGUACUUACGGGUAUUUGCCCUUAAUCGUUACUACUCAUUUUAAAACUAUCGAAUAAUACUGGGAAGAGAACCAUACCAUCUUAAUGACGUCGAAGAGGUAACUCAAGGUUCUUGGUACUAUACCUUGGCUAUUGCUAGUUGAAACUUUACCCGUUAUCGUAUAGGUCUUGCCACUGCCUGUCUGUAAAUUCAAAUACCUUCGAUUACGAUCAAUGCACGUAUAGUCGUUCUUAACGAUAAUAAUGAUUUUGUAUCAUUGAAUUUAACGAAACGCAUCGAUCAUUUCGAUUUACCUGGCCAUAAGCGAAGACGGUACCAUUGUAACCAUCGAGGACACUUUAAUAAACGAAGAUACACAAGCAUAAAUAGCAAAAUUUAUGGAAUAAUGGAAUUCUCUUCACCUCUCGAUCACAGGCCGACCGACAUCCUCAAAGACAUCUUGCUGAUUCGCCUCUUCCUCGAUGAUACGGGGCUGCUUACGAAAACUUCCACGAUUCAGGACGAUGAUCGACAUACUCGUCGUCCUUAAAAGGUGCCAGCAACACCAAGAAAUCUUCUUUGCUGUGAUCCUUUGGUCGGCGAAGUAUACGAUAUUUCUGAAAGAAAGAUGUACAG